AUACGGAGGGUGCAAGCGUUAUCCGGAAUCAUUGGGUUUAAAGGGUCCGUGGGCGGGCUAAUAAGUCAGGGGUGAAAUCCCACAGCUUAACUGUGGAACUGCCCUUGAUACUGUUGGUCUUGAGUUACAGUGAAGUGGUUAGAAUGUGUAGUGUAGCGGUGAAAUGCAUAGAGAUUACACAGAAUACCGAUUGCGAAGGCAGAUCACUAACUGUAUACUGACGCUAAUGGACGAAAGCGUGGGGAGCGAACAGGAUUAGAAACCCUAGUAGUCC
rnacentral:rRNA from 1 species